GUUCUUUUUAUGUGACACAACUAUUCAGUCUAACUGAAUCUUCAUUAAAUGGACUUUUUCCUCAUUAUAUAUUCAGCAUUCUCUUUCUCUUUUUAUAAUUUGGGGGUUCUAAAAGCUCAGUAUAAUAUGAAAACUCAAUCAGAUUUUAUUGAGUAAAAAUUAAUAAAGGAGAAGAGACUUAGUAAAACAUUUUAAUUAUUUCAGUCAGUGACAAAAGGUAGUGAUUCUUUGAUGUGAUGUGGGAUUUAUAUAAAGCUGUUAGAUUUAUAGUUUGCCUUAUCAUUUUAAUCCAUUAAAAUAACCUCUUAAUUAUGCUUUUAACAUCCCAAUAGAGAACUAAAUAAUUGUAAUUGCUUGAUUAAAAGCAGUUUUUUAAAAAUAUGGCUAAAAGAAGUCAUGAAAUACUCCAGGAAAUUGAUAUGAAACACUCCAAAGAAAUGUUUUCAGCCAAAUUCAUUUAAAGAAUAUAGGCAACUUUAAAUUAGGGCUAGACUGAAUUCUAACUACACAUUAUAAGAUUUUUAAAAAAAUAUUUCUUAACAGUCUGAGUAAGGAGUAAAUAAUUUUCUAAAGGAGGAUAAACACUAUUGUAGAGAAUCAAAACACAAACCAUGUAUUACUAGUGACCUUGCAUAUUUCUCUUCUUCGAUCUAUUAUAUUCAUCAUAACUUUAAUUCUCAAAAUACAUGCUUAUUUCACAAUUUCUAAAUUGGGGGAUGUUGGGAGGAGGGUGGGGAUUCACUGUUACAUUGAUGUGCUGCAUACAAAUUGUUAGAUUGCAUAAGGGCCACAUUGUUUUUGUUUUUUAUUUUCCAUAUACUUUUACAGCUAGAAUGACCUUACUAAUUCUGUGACUUAUAUUCUUCUACAGAUAAGAAAACACAGCCUCACAGAUAUUUUUUUACAAAGUUCCAUAGCUAAUUACUGACAGAACAUAGCUGGCAUUCAUAUCCUUUAAUUCCAAAUAUGAUCUAUUUUAUAUUAUUUCUUUAUUUUCUCCAAAAACAGACAUCUUUUUUUUUCUCAUCUUUAAUAACACUGCUUUGUUUACACCUGGGAGCCACAAGUUUCUGAAACUCUCUUCUUAACAGCAAAUGCUCUUUGGAGAAAUAACAAUUUCCAGUCGAUUUGAUCAUUUAUAAAAGACAUUUUUCCUAUUUGACAGUGAGCUUUCUUUCAUUUUUCAGCUAGCUUUUUAACUACCUCCUCAACUUUCUUAUUAGUAAUCUCUGUUUCUAUGUAUAUUCACCUUUGUUCUUUAUUAUAUUGUGCUCUAAAAGAUAGUCCUUAAAUUCAUUCAAUCAGUGACAUUCAGUUCAUUCAAAAGAUAGUAUCUUUCAUUCAUUUAAAGUCUAAAGGAAUACUGCUAAGUUAUGUAGCACCAAACAUGGUGCCAUGAGAUCAACAUCUUCAAGUUUUAAGAUUCUCUAGAGUUUUCAUGCGUCAUUAGAUUUUAGCCUAAUAUUAUGGGACAACAAAUACAUAGAUCUCUCUUGAAAAUAAUAAAACUGUCAACUUUUUGGAUCAGAAAGAGUAUUCUUUUUGUUUAUUCUGUAACAGUUUUGUAAUUUAAAAGAAUAGGUCUAUAAACAGUUAUUUUCUUAUACCUCAUAUUAUUUUUUUAAUUAAAGGCAAGUGGUCAAACUCUAACAAUCAAAAAACUUCAUUUAGAAGGAAAAAAGACUAAUGAGUCAAAGAAAGGCAAGAAAGUAACUUCAAUAGUGGAUACUGAACAUGACGACUCGGCAUCUACAAGUAGUUCACUGAAAAGGGGAAGCAAAGACCCAAGAAAAAGAAAAAUAGAGGGAAAAAUUCUGGAUGAUCCUUACGGACAUGGCAACUUGCCUCAGCAGAGAGCCGAGAAAAGGAGAAAUGGAGGAAAACACCUCUGGUGACUUGUCAAAACAUCCAAGUUUUACUUCUCUUAAGAAACCCUAACAAGAGGACUGUAAGGACCCGGAUCUGUACCUGGACAUGACUCUUUUCCGGAUGAUCCUUAUGGACAUGGCAACUCACCUCAGCACAGACCCUGGAAAAGGAGAAAUGGAGGAAAACACGUCUGGUGACUUGUCAAAACAACCAAGUUUUACUUAAGAAACACAAAUGAGAUGACUCUAAGAACCUGACUCUUUGCAGUAUGAUCCUUACUGAAAUGGAAACUCAUGAGGAUGCAUGGCCUUUUCUACUUCCUGUAUACUUGAAAUUUGUUCCUGGUUAUAAGAAAGUUACUAAGAAGCCUAUGAAUUUUUCCACGAUUAGAGAGAAAUUAAUUAUUGGACAGUAUCCAAACCUGGAAGCCUUUGCUGUCGAUGUCAGGCUUGUUUUUGACAACUGUGAAGCAUUUAAUCAAGAUGAUUCUGAUACAGGCAGAGCUGGCCACAGUAUGAGGAAGUAUUUUGAGAAAAAGUGGACAGAUACUCUCAAAGUGAGCUGAAGCUACAAUAAUCUCUUUUUUCCUUUUCAAUAAGGACGAAUAAGACCAGCAAUGUCAACUAUAUUUUACAUAAAUGUGCAAGGCACAUGCAUAAUGACUUUUUUUCCUUAGUAAAAGUAUCACACACAAAAACAGUAUCAGAAGAAUGAUACCAUUUUUAAAGGCUUCACUCCUACAACAACCAAGGCCCUUGGUUAUUGGUUUGUGUGAUUUAUCAGCUAAUUUAGGUAGAACAGGGAAGCACACCCGAAGAAUUUUCAAAGGUAAGGGUGUUACAGAGUAACAGCAAUUAAAAUAUAUCAAAUCGCACUGAACAUUCAACACCAGAGCUCUAAUGUGGGAGAUGGUUCUCCUUUCCCUCUCAAUAAAUAUCUACUUUUCCUUUUUUU